AACUAAUCUCCGUUGUACAACUGGUUGGAGAUUCACAUUGGUGUGCCACUCCACUGGUACAAUCGGCCCAGAACAGUCCUACGAGGGGAGGCAUCAUGAACAAGGUUCUAGGACUCAUUGUUUUGGCUUGUGCCACUCUGUACGUGGUCGUCCAAUGUCACUACGACUACGGUUACUCAGGGUACCCCCCUAACAACUACUACGGAGGAGGUGCACAACAACAACAACAACAACAAUAUGGAUCAAAUCGGUUGACUAACUACGCACUGGCCAGAGCCUAUUAUGACGAUAGGGUUGAAAACAAAGGUUUAUUCCGUGGCGGCUCUGUCGUAUCAACAGCUGCCGCCCUUCUUUUCUUAUGGUAUGCGUUUAACGGUACUGGAGGCGUUCUGGGAUGAAACUAAGACCCAUUACGGUAGCGUAUGUGCCGGGGCAUCUACUGACGGUCGAAGACCUCUUGCGUGAUGUUAAAUUAUUCCAUCGUAUUUGCUUGUGUGAUCAUUAAAAUAUUCGUUAACUAA